rnacentral:rRNA from 1 species
GACGAACGCUGGCGGCGUGCUUAACACAUGCAAGUCGAACGGAGCACCCUUGAAUGAGACUUCGGUCAAAGGAAAGGAAUGCUUAGUGGCGGACUGGUGAGUAACGCGUGAGGAACCUGCCUUUCAGAGGGGGACAACAGUUGGAAACGACUGCUAAUACCGCAUGACGCAUUCGGAUGGCAUCAUCUGAAUGCCAAAGAUUUAUCGCUGAAAGACGGCCUCGCGUCUGAUUAGAUAGUUGGCGGGGUAACGGCCCACCAAGUCGACGAUCAGUGGCCGGACUGAGAGGUUGACCGGCCACAUUGGGACUGAGAUACGGCCCAGACUCCUACGGAAGGCAGCAGUGGGGAAUAUUGGGCAAUGGGCGCAAGCCUGACCCAGCAACGCCGCGUGAAGGAAGAAGGCUUUCGGGUUGUAAACUUCUUUUAAGAGGGAAGAGCAGAAGACGGUACCUCUUGAAUAAGCCACGGCUAACUACGUGCCAGCCGCCGCCGUAA